AGUGAACGCUGGCGGUAGGCCUAACACAUGCAAGUCGAACGGCAGCACAGUAAGAGCUUGCUCUUACGGGUGGCGAGUGGCGGACGGGUGAGGAAUACAUCGGAAUCUACUUUUUCGUGGGGGAUAACGUAGGGAAACUUACGCUAAUACCGCAUACGACCUACGGGUGAAAGCAGGGGAUCUUCGGACCUUGCGCGAUUGAAUGAGCCGAUGUCGGAUUAGCUAGUUGGCGGGGUAAAGGCCCACCAAGGCGACAAUCCGUAGCUGGUCUGAGAGGAUGAUCGGCCACACUGGAACUGAGACACGGUCCAGACUCCUACGGGAGGCAGCAGUGGGGAAUAUUGGACAAUGGGCGCAAGCCUGAUCCAGCCAUACCGCGUGGGUGAAGAAGGCCUUCGGGUUGUAAAGCCCUUUUGUUGGGAAGGAAAAGCAGCAGGUUAAUACCCCGCUGUUCUGACGGUACCCAAAGAAUAAGCACCGGCUAACUUCGUG
rnacentral:rRNA from 1 species